rnacentral:lncRNA from 10 species
AUUCUCUCCAGAUUGAAUAAAUGCUGGGGGGCCCGGGGGAAGAUCAUUGUCCCCAGGAAGCAUCCAUCCCUCUUUAAGCAAUGGCUGUGCACACCAACCUUGGAUCCCAACUUCUGUAAUAUUUCUCUGUUAUAAAUUGGCAGGCACAGCAUGUGGUCAAGGAGCCAUUACAAGCCCUCUCAAACAAUAUUUUUUUUCCCAGAGACUUAAUUUCUUAAAAUGUGAGAGUGAUUCUUCUGCGGAAAGUAGAACAGUGUCUUUUUGAGCCUGCCAGACAAAAACAAAACUAAACAAAACAAAAGGCAAAGUCUCUGAGAGGAUAACAAGGCGAGCAGGCUUCCUUGUGUGCACCUGGAGGCCCUUCCUUCGGCGCUGUGGCUGCCUUAAUGAGAACAGAUGGCACCGUCGGGAGACGGGCUCGAUAUUAUACGCCUCCCGUGUCCUCCUUCUGAAACCAGCUUUGAGCAGAUCUUUUUUCACUGUGAAUUGGCGCCGGUUGUUUAAGCGGUGGCCUAGCCAUGUGCCAGAAAGCAGGAUGUUCAUACAGAAAGCAGGAUGCUAAUACAUUCACAGCUGCCUCUUGCAGAACUCAAAGCCUUUUAUAACGGAGCAGGUGAAGUCUUUGGAAGGCCCGCUUCAAGGAUGGAGGAAGAGGCUGCCAUGAGCAGCCCACAGAGAGUGACUCACCUAACCACUGUCAGAGAAGAAACCCCAUCCCCCAGUCCCCACUCUGUGAUUCUAGCUGCCUAAUGCCGCCUCGUGGCUACAGCCCGAGACCCUCCCCGUGCAGGGUCCAGAAGGUGGGAAGGCAAAGAUUCCACCUGGAGCUUAGGAAGGUCUGAAGGGGCUGAACCUGAAUGUGGUAGCUCUGGCUGACCAGCCCCCAUCCCCCAAGAGGUAGAAGUCACCACCUCUGUGCAGAAGCUGUUUCUCAUCGCCUCAUGCUUGGCCUCCUGAUCUGGGGCAGACUCAGGAAGCCAUAAAGAGAGAAAGCAAAGAUUUUCACGGUGAGAAACGAGAAAUGAUGAGGAGAAGAGGCAACCUGUGGAGCCGAGACUUAAAGAGGGAAUAUGUUUCUGGAGUCAGCUGCAGCCGAGGUGUCUAAAAAUGAAAGAAGAAGGGGCACUCGGUGAGUGGACAACACAAAUGGAAAAGGAGUGGAGUUUGGAAAACAAUCUUCCAGUUCCACCGGAGGGAAGGCCCAGAUGAAGUUAUCCAGAGGAAUUUUUGCGUGGUGGUCAGGUGCAGGAUUCUAAAAUGAGCAUAGAAACUGGAAUCAUGUUGUGGGUUUGUGUGUGUGUGUGUGUGUGUGUGUGUGUGUGUUUGUUUGUUUGUUUUUUGAGAUGGAGUCUUGCUCUUGUCGCCCAGGCUGGAAUGCAGUGGCACGAUCUCGGCUCACUGCAACCUCCACUUCCCAGGUUCAAGAGAUUCUCUUGCCUCAGCCUCUCGACUGCAGGCGCCCGCCACCAUGCCCAGCCCAUGUUGUUUUGUGUGCCUGACAGCAGUGUUCACAAAGGAUGGGAUAACCACUCAGAACUCAAGAUUUCUCCUGCAUCUUUACAAAAUAAUAAAAGCCAAAACCAGGAGGCGUAGGAGAAAAGACAACAAUAAUUAACCAGUGUGCCCUUUCAAAUCAUUAAUUGACUAACUUGACUAUAAUAUAUAACAGAACACCAUAAUCCAUUACAUAUCAUGUAGUAAAGGAAUAUUCAAAGAUUUGUGAAAUGCUUCUAAUGCAGUUUGAGUGACAAAGCAAGUCACAAAGCAGAAUAUGAAGUAUGAUUCCUAAUUUUGCUUUUAAAAUGCACCUACAUACAAACAUGAUAAAGAAAUAAAUACACGUACAUUCCACAAUGGUUGCAUUGGGAUGAGACAGUUAUAGGUGAUCUUUAACUUUCCUUUACAUUUUUCUAAAUUAUAUAUCCUGCACCUUUUCUAAGCACAGAAAAAGAAAUUAACAUGUAAUUUUACAUUUCUAAUAUUUGUACAGGAAAGCCUCUCCAGUGAGCAUUUCUGUGUGAAGGGACCCCAAUAAUCCCAUGCAUACCCAUCCCCCAGCCUCAUCCAGGGUGGAGCUCAGGCCCCACCUGCAGUAUUAUAUCUUCAUUCCCAUUGUUCUUGAAAAAUUAAGUCUCCUCAAGGGUUCUUAAAGCUUCUGUGGAGUUUUCAAAGGUUGAAAUUAUGCCUUAGUCCAUAGUUCCAUACCCCAACAUCAAUAACCGUGUCUGACACAAAAUAACUGUUCAAUAAAUGUUCAAGGAUUGGAUAAACAACCAACCCCAAAUUCCCCAAGUGAGAUUAUCACAUUUAUUGCUUAGCCCCUCCUGUGUUAAUAAGAUCAAGAGAAAUGUCAUAGCAGCAAUACACAGUGCCGCUUUAUUUCACUUCCUGUUUUUUGGGAGGUGCACUCGAUCCCUGCAUCGUGUGAAUCAUCACAUCCACACCUACCCCAUAUCACUGAGCAAAGACAUGAUCGCCAAGUUAAAAAGUGCCAUGUCAUGGAACCCCUAGUGAACCUGGACUGAUUCAAGGGUGAAACCAUGUUGAUUCUCUUGACCACUUGUACAAUCUCAUCCUCAGCCUUACGCUGGGCAUGUGGGUCUGAUCAAGGUUCUUGGCCCUGGGCAUGUCUCCCCCGGGCACCAUGCUUUACAUAAAGUAGCAAUUCAGAAUCUCCAUCAGGAUCACCAGGAAGCCAAGCCAUCCAGUCUAAUGAACGCUGACAAAGGGCCAGGCCCUGGGAAGACAAAGAGGAAUGCUUACUGCCACAUAGCUCUGCCAACCACUGGACAUGUGACGGAAGGACACUGGCAGGAUGCCCAACAGCUGCUACUGGGUGAGCUGAUAUGAGUGAACCAAGAAAAGCAUGGUCAAGCAGAGCCCACCAACUGAUGUUACCACUGAAAAUCCCCACACCCUCAGGCCCACUAAUGCUAUUCCAAGAAAUUUAUUCUACAGAAACACUUCCACAUGUG